rnacentral:rRNA from 1 species
UGGGGAAUAUUGGACAAUGGGCGAAAGCCUGAUCCAGCAAUGCCGCGUGUGUGAAGAAGGUCUUCGGAUUGUAAAAGCACUUUCGACGGGGACGAUGAUGACGGUACCCGUAGAAGAAGCCCCCGGCUAACUUCGUGCCGG